rnacentral:rRNA from 1 species
GACGAACGCUGGCGGCGUGCUUAACACAUGCAAGUCGAACGGAAAGGCCCUGCUUUUGUGGGGUGCUCGAGUGGCGAACGGGUGAGUAACACGUGAGUAACCUGCCCUUGACUUUGGGAUAACUUCAGGAAACUGGGGCUAAUACCGGAUAGGAGCUCCUGCUGCAUGGUGGGGGUUGGAAAGUUUCGGCGGUUGGGGAUGGACUCGCGGCUUAUCAGCUUGUUGGUGGGGUAGUGGCUUACCAAGGCUUUGACGGGUAGCCGGCCUGAGAGGGUGACCGGGCACAUUGGGACUGAGAGACGGACCAGACUGCUACGGGAGGCAGCAGUGGGGAAUAUUGCAGAAUGGGCGGAAGCGAGAGGCAGCAACGCCGCGUGCGGGAUGACGGCCUUCGGGGUGUAAACCGCUUUCGCCUGUGACGAAGCGUGAGUGACGGUAAUGGGUAAAGAAGCACCGGCUAACUACGUG